CCGAGCAGCCGGGGAAUUAGCGGCUCCCUGUACCUUCAAUCCGCUAUAGUAGGGGUGAUGUCCUGCCUCGGGUUUGCAGCCGCGGAGCUGCCUUGUAUAAGUGGCGUUGAUCUUCGGGUCUUGCGCGACGGGAAUCUGUGAACCAGGUCAGGUCAGGAAUGAAGCAGCCUUAAGCGGAACCUCCCGGGUGCCGCAAGGGUGCCUGGAGUGAGCUAACUGUAGAAGUAACGUCCGUAUGUUGGAAUUCAAAGCAGGAUGCUCGU
rnacentral:SRP_RNA from 1 species